rnacentral:rRNA from 1 species
AAAAGCUACUAAGGGUGUAUGGGGAAUACCUAGGCAGUAAGAGGCGAAGAAGGACGCGUGCUAGUCCGCGAAAGCUUCGGUGAGCCGUCAAGCAGGCUUUGAACCGGAGGUGUCCGAAUGGGGAAACCCCUUCAUUGGAAACAGUGAAGACUCCACACCGAGUCAAGUAGGUGUGAGAGAGCGAACCCAGGGAACUGAAACAUCUAAGUACCUGGAGGAAAAGUAAUCAACCGAGAUUCCGCUAGUAGUGGCGAGCGAACGCGGAAAUGCCCAAACCGACAAGCAUGCUUGUCGGGGUUGUAGGACUUGCAUAAUGGAAGCGAAGGUAGAAGAAGUGUCUGGGAAGGCACACCAAAGAGGGUGAAAGUCCCGUAAUCGAAACCUAAGCGACUUGGCGAGUAUCCUGAGUAGGACGGGACACGUGUAAUCCUGUCUGAAUCUGGGGGGCCCACCCUCCAAGGCAAAAUACUAAUUACUGACCGAUAGUGAACAAGUACCGUGAGGGAAAGGUGAAAAGAACCCCGACGAGGGGAGUGAAAUAGAAUUUGAAACCGUACACUUACAUACAGCGAGAGGGUUAUUGAAAUGCCUGAUCGCGUACCUUUUGCAUUAUGAGUCGCCGAGUUACGGUAUGUGGCAAGGUUAAGCCGUUGAAGGUGUAGCCGUAGGGAAACCGAGUCUGAAUAGGGCGAAUAGUCGCAUGCCGUAGACCCGAAACGGGAUGAGCUAACCAUGGACAGGCUGAAGCGAGGGUAACACUUCGUGGAGGGCCGAACUCAUGAAUGCUGAAAAAUUCUGGGAUGAUCUGUGGUUAGGGGUGAAAGGCCAAUCAAAUUCCGUGAUAGCUGGUUCUCUCCGAAAUGUAUUUAGGUGCAGCGUCUAGUGAUUGCUGUCGGGGGUAUAGCACUGACUUGGCUAGGGGUCUUACCGGACUACCAAACCAUAUCAAACUCAGAAUACCGACAAGUAGAGCUAGGCAGUAAGACUGCGGGUGCUAAGGUCCGUAGUCGAGAGGGAAAGAGCCCAGAUCGCUAGCUAAGGUCCCAAAAUCGUAUCUAAGUGGGGAAGGUUGUGGAAUUACUUUGACAUCCAGGAGGUUGGCUUAGAAGCAGCCAUCCUUUAAAGAAAGCGUAAUAGCUCACUGGACCAGUGAUUCUGCGCCGAAAAUGUAACGGGGCUAAAGAUACGUACCGAAGCUGCGAACUAAUUUAGUGGUAGGAGAGCAUUGUGUGUGCUGAUGAAGGCGUACUGUAAGGAGCGCUGGAGGUCCCACAAGAGCUGAUGGCGACAUGAGUAGCGAUAAGAAAUGUGAGAAUCAUUUCCGCCGAAAAUCUAAGGGUUCCUGGGCCAGGUGACUCCGCCCAGGGUUAGUCGGAUACUAAGGCGAGGCCGAAAGGCGUAGUCGAUGUAUAACAGGUUAAUAUUCCUGUACUUGGUAAAGAUCGUUUGACUUGAUGGAGUGACGGGGAAAGAUAGCGGGGCCACCUGUUGGAUGGUGGUUUAAGCAUGUAGAGGGAUGUCCUAGGUAAAUCCGGGAUGUCAUUAACCUCGAGAUGUGAAUACGAGGGCCUGGCCCGAAGUCUGUGACUCUAUGCCUCCAAGAAAAGCUUCGCAAGGAGAGCUUUAUCAAUCCGUACCGUAAACCGACACAGGUAGAUGAGGAGAGAAUCCUCAGGCGUUUGGGAUAACUCUAGUUAAGGAACUCUGCAAAUUGGUGCCGUAACUUCGGGAGAAGGCACGCCUUUGUUGGUGACAUCACUUGCUGGUGAAGCUGACGAGGGUCGCAGUGAAAAGGGGGUAGCGACUGUUUAUCAAAAACACAGGUCUCUGCAAACACGGAAGUGGAUGUAUAGGGGCUGACGCCUGCCCGGUGCUGGAAGGUUAAAAGGAGGAGUUAGGGUAACCGAAGCUCCGAAUCGAAGCCCCAGUAAACGGCGGCCGUAACUAUAACGGUCCUAAGGUAGCGAAAUUCCUAGUCGGGUAAGUUCCGACCUGCACGAAUGGCGUAACGACUUCCCCACUGUCUCAACUGGAGCCCCAGCGAAAUUGGAGAACGCGUGCAGAUACGCGUAACCCGCGGUAGGACGAAAAGACCCCGUGAACCUUUACUGUAGCUUGGCAUUGGGUUUCGAGUGACAUUGCGUAGGAUAGGUGGGAGCUGUUGAUCCGUGCGUUCCGGCGUACGGGGAGGUACCGUUGAAAUACCACCCUAUGUUACUUGGAAUCCUAACCUACGAUCAUGAACUGGUCGGGGGACAAUGUCUGGUGGGCAGUUUGACUGGGGCGGUCGCCUCCCAAAGAGUAACGGAGGCGCACGAAGGUUCCCUCAGGCCGAAUGGAAACCGGCCGUAGAGUGUAAGCGCAUAAGGGAGCUUGACUGCGAGGCAAGCAAGCCGAGCAGAUGCGAAAGCAGGUGCUAGUGAUCCGGUGGUUCCGAGUGGAAGGGCCAUCGCUCAACGGAUAAAAGGUACUCCGGGGAUAACAGGCUGAUCGCUUCCAAGAGUUCACAUCGACGAAGCGGUUUGGCACCUCGAUGUCGGCUCAUCGCAUCCUGGGGCUGGAGCAGGUCCCAAGGGUUUGACUGUUCGUCAAUUAAAGCGGUACGCGAGCUGGGUUCAGAACGUCGUGAGACAGUUCGGUCUCUAUCCACCGUGGGCGUAAGAGAUUUGAGGGAAUCUGACCUUAGUACGAGAGGACCGGGUUGGACGAACCUAUGGUGAACCGGUUGCGGCGCCAGCUGCAUCGCCGGGUAGCUACGUUCGGAAGGGAUAACCGCUGAAAGCAUCUAAGUGGGAAACCCAUCCUAAGAUAAGAUCUCUAUGAGGCAACUUGAAGACAACGAGUUUGAUAGGUCGGAGGUGUAAGUGCAGUAAUGCAUUGAGCUGACCGAUACUAAUUAGCCGAUUUGCUUUU